AAAGAAUACUCGGGGUGCUCUACACGAAGCCAAUAGGCUUAACAUGUAGGGCUGAGAUGAUACCCAUUAAACCUGAUGCUGGUAAUUCAGCCGUAGGAAAUGAGCAAGCUAGAAUA
rnacentral:ncRNA from 2 species